GACGAACGCUGGCGGCGUGCUUAACACAUGCAAGUCGAGCGGAAAGGCCCUUCGGGGUACUCGAGCGGCGAACGGGUGAGUAACACGUGAGUAACCUACCUCGAACUCUGGGAUAAGCCUGGGAAACUGGGUCUAAUACCGGAUGUUCAUCUCCUGCUGCAUGGUGGGGGAUGGAAAGUGUUUAGCGGUUCGGGAUGGGCUCGCGGCCUAUCAGCUUGUUGGUGAGGUAAUGGCUUACCAAGGCUUUUACGGGUAGCCGGCCUGAGAGGGCGACCGGCCACACUGGGACUGAGAUACGGCCCAGACUCCUACGGGAGGCAGCAGUGGGAAUAUUGCGCAAUGGGCGGAAGCCUGACGCAGCAACGCCCUGUGAGGGAUGACCGCCUUCGGGUUGUAAACCUCUUUCACCAGGGACGAAGCUUUUGUGACGGUACCUGGGGAAGAAGCGCCCGCCAACUACCUGCCAGCAGCCGCGGUAACACGUAAGGCGCGAGCGUUGUCCGGAAUUAUUGGGCGUAAAGGGCUCGUAAGCGGUUUGUCGCGUCCAAAGUGAAAAUCCCGGGGCUCGACUCCCGACUUGCUUUCGAUACGGGCAGGCUAGAGGUAGGCAGGGGAGAAUGGAAUUCCUGGUGUAGCGGUGGAAUGCGCAGAUAUCAGGAGGAACACCGGUGGCGAAGGGCGGUUCUCUGGGCCUUACCUGACGCUGAGGAGCGAAAGCGUGGGGAGCGAACAGGAUUAGAUACCCCUGGUAGUCCACGCUGUAAACGUUGGGCGCUAGGUGUGGGAGUCUUUUGUGACGUCCGUGCCGUAGCUAACGCAUUAAGCGCCCCGCCUGGGGAGUACGGUCGCAAGACUAAAACUCAAAGGAAUUGACGGGGGCCCGCACAAGCGGCGGAGCAUGUUGCUUAAUUCGAGGCAACGCGAAGAACCUUACCUGGGUUUGACAUGUGGGUUAAUCCGGCAGAGAUGUCGGGUCCUUUUGGGAACUCAUGCAGGUGGUGCAUGGCUGUCGUCAGCUCGUGUCGUGAGAUGUUGGGUUAAGUCCCGCAACGAGCGCAACCCUCGUCCUAUGUUGCCAGCACGUUAUGGUGGGGACUCAUAGGAGACUGCCGGGGUCAACUCGGAGGAAGGUGGGGAUGAUGUCAAGUCUUCAUGCCCCUUAUGUCCAGGGCUGCAAACAUGCUACAAUGGUCGGUACAAUGGGCUGCGAGACCGUGAGGUGGAGCGAAUCCCUAAAAGCCGGCCUCAGUUCGGAUCGGGGUCUGCAACUCGACCCCGUGAAGUUGGAGUCGCUAGUAAUCGCGGAUCAGCAACGCCGCGGUGAAUACGUUCCCGGGCCUUGCACUCACCGC
rnacentral:rRNA from 1 species